UUCCGGUUGAUCCUGCCGGACCUGACUGCUAUCGGAUUGAUACUAAGCCAUGUGAGUCUUUGCAGUAAUGCAAGGCAGACGGCUCAGUAACACGUAGUCAAUCUAACCUAUGGACAGGAAUAAUCUCGGGAAACUGAGCAUAAUACCUGAUAGAUCAUUAUGCCUGGAAUGGUUAAUGGUUGAAAUGAAUUUCGCCAUAGGAUGGGACUGCGGCCUAUCAGCUUGUUGGUGAGGUAAUGGCCCACCAAGGCUAUUACAGGUACGGGCUCUGAGAGGAGAAGCCCGGAGAUGGGUACUGAGACACGGACCCAGGUCCUAUGGGGCGCAGCAGGCGAGAAAACUUUGCAAUGUGCGAAAGCACGACAAGGUUAAUCCGAGUGUUUCCUGCUAAAGGAAUCUUUUGUUAGUCGUAAAACCACUAUUGAAUAAGGGGUGGGCAAGUUCUGGUGUCAGCCGCCGCGGUAAAACCAGCACCUCAAGUGGUCAGGAGGUUUAUUGGGCCUAAAGCAUCCGUAGCCUGAUCUAUAAGUUUCCGGUUAAAUCCAAAUGCUCAACAUUUGGGCUGCCGGAAAAACUGUAGAUCUAGGGAGUGGGAGAGGUAGACAGUACUCGGUAGGAAGGGGUAAAAUCCUUUGAUCUAUUGAUGACCACCAGUGGCGAAGGCGGUCUACCAGAACACGUUCGACGGUGAGGGAUGAAAGCUGGGGGAGCAAACCGGAUCAGAUACCCGGGUAGUCCCAGCUGUAAACGAUGCAGACUCGGUGAUGCAUUGGCUUGUGGCCAGUGCAGUGCCGCAGGGAAGCCGUUAAGUUUGCCGCCUGGGAAGUACGUACGCAAGUAUGAAACUUAAAGGAAUUGGCGGGGGAGCACCACAAGGGGUGAAGCCUGCGGUUCAAUUGGAGUCAACGCCGGGA
rnacentral:rRNA from 1 species